GCCAUCCCUGAUUCGCAGACUCAACCAAGAUUUCUAACAACACAUCGCUUUGUUCUUUAGUCCAUGGUUCAUAGGUUGCCCUAUUUUUCAUAUUUUGUUGUUGAGAAUCUCCCAUGAUAAUAUUACUAGACACAAAAUACAUAUACGUAUAUAGUAUAUAACAAUGAAUAAAAGAAAAAAUAAAGAAAAACAACAAAAACUGGAAUCAACUCACAUAAAAAUACGACACUAACAAUUUAUAA
rnacentral:lncRNA from 1 species